rnacentral:rRNA from 1 species
UACGAAGGGGGCUAGCGUUGCUCGGAAUCACUGGGCGUAAAGCGCGCGUAGGCGGAUUGCUAAGUCAGGGGUGAAAUCCUGGAGCUCAACUCCAGAACUGCCCUUGAUACUGGCGGUCUCGAGUCCGGGAGAGGUGAGUGGAACUGCGAGUGUAGAGGUGAAAUUCGUAGAUAUUCGGCGGAACACCAGUGGCGAAGGCGAACUCACUGGCCCGAUACUGACGCUGAGGCGCGGAAAGCGUGGGGAGCAAC